AACGAACGCUGGCGGCAUGCUUAACACAUGCAAGUCGAACGGAAAGUUCCUGCCUAUGUGCGCUGCUCGAGUGGCGAACGGGUAAGUAACACGUGAGUAACCUGUCCUUGACUGUAGGUUAACCUCAUGAAACUGGGGCUAAUACCGGCUAGGAUUUCUUGCUGCAUGGUGGGGGCUGGAUAGUUUCGGCGGUUGGGGAUGUACUCGCGGCUCAUGAGCUCGUUGGUGGGGUAGUGGCUUACCAAGGCUUUGACGGGUAGCCGGCCUGGGAGGGUGACCGGCCACAUUGGGACUGAGAUACGGCCCAGACUCCUACGGGAGGCAACAGUGGAGAAUAUUGCAUAAUGGGCGGAAGCCUGGUGCAGCCACGCCGUGUGCGGGAUGACGGCCUUCGGGUUGUAAACCGAUUUCGCCUGUGACGAAGCGUUAGUGACGGUAAUGGGUAAAGAAGCACCGGCUAACUACGUG
rnacentral:rRNA from 1 species